UACGGGGGGGGCAAGCGUUGUUCGGAAUUACUGGGCGUAAAGGGCUCGUAGGCGGCCAACUAAGUCAGACGUGAAAUCCCCAGGCUUAACCUGGGAACUGCAUCCGAUACUGGAUGGCUUGAAUCCGGGAGAGGGAUGCAGAAUUCCAGGUGUAGCGGUGAAAUGCGUAGAUAUCUGGAGGAAUACCGGUGGCGAAGGCGGCAUCCUGGACCGGCAUUGACGCUGAGGAGCGAAAGCUAGGGGAGCAAACGGG
rnacentral:rRNA from 1 species